UGCUGCGGUUAAAAAGCUCGUAGUUGGAUUUCCCUUUCGGACCGGCAACCCAUCCAAGGCGCGCCCUCGUCUUACGCGUUCGAGUCCCUUCGCCCUUCUCGUCUCGUUUGCCUCGGCAUUUUUUCCCCUGCCUAUCUCUCUCUCGCUGAAGUAUGUUGCUCUUUGCCGACCAAAUUGCGUGGUUGUGGUAGUGACGCUUGCAUCUAAGCGUGUUUGGGCUCGUUAGGGCAAGUUAGGUGUGUCCGGCUGAUCGGUCCAAGCGUUGAACGUCUUCAGGGGCGUUUCUUCGUUCCGUUUAGUUCGGCCUCCUCUACUGGUCUCCCAUUCAUGUUUGCUUGUAGUUCCGCCACUUCCUUAGCCUUUUGUGCUGCGGCGAGACAACGCUGAAAGAGUUUGAGAAAAAGCUUGGGUCGGUGUCGAGGCGCGGGGAUAAAAAGCGAGUUGACGCGUUUGAGGGUCUUGUUCCGGGCGAGUAAGCGCGCCCGGUGGUUCACUGAUCGGCUCCGAAUUGAAAAAGCCGUCGGCUUUCACGGGGUGCUCUUCACCGAGUGUCCCGCGUGGCCGACACGUUCACUUUGAAAAAAUUAGAGUGCUUAGAGCAGGCAAUAACUAAUGCCUGAAUGGUGGUGCAUGGAAUGAUGAAACAGGACCUCGGUUCUGUCCUUUUGUUCGG
rnacentral:rRNA from 1 species